AGCGAACGCUGGCGGCAGGCCUAACACAUGCAAGUCGAACGAACCCUUCGGAGUUAGUGGCGGACGGGUGAGUAACGCGUGGGAACGUGCCUUUUGGUUCGGGAUAACUCAGGGAAACGUGUGCUAAUACCGGAUGUGCCCUUCGGGGGAAAGAUAUAUCGCCCUUAGAGCGGCCCGCGUCUGAUUAGCUAGUUGGUGAGGUAAGGGCUCACCAAGGCGACGAUCAGUAGCGGGUCUCAGAGGCUGACCAGCCACACUGGGACUGGGACACGGCCCAGACUCCUACGGGAUGCAGCAGUGGGGAAUCUUGCGCAAUGGGCGAAAUCCUGACGCAGCCAUGCCGCGUGAAUGAUGAAGGUCUUAGGAUUGUAAAAUUCUUUCACCGGGGACGAUAAUGACGGUACCCGGAGAAGAAGCCCCGGCUAACUUCGUG
rnacentral:rRNA from 1 species